rnacentral:rRNA from 1 species
AUUGAACGCUGGCGGCAUGCUUUACACAUGCAAGUCGAACGGUAACAGGCCUUCGGGUGCUGACGAGUGGCGAACGGGUGAGUAAUGUAUCGGAACGUGCCCAGUAGUGGGGGAUAGCCCGGCGAAAGCCGGAUUAAUACCGCAUGAGAACUGAGGUUGAAAGCGGGGGACCUUCGGGCCUCGCGCUACUGGAGCGGCUGAUAUCAGAUUAGGUAGUUGGUGGGGUAAAGGCUCACCAAGCCUGCGAUCUGUAGCUGGUCUGAGAGGACGACCAGCCACACUGGGACUGAGACACGGCCCAGACUCCUACGGGAGGCAGCAGUGGGGAAUAUUGGACAAUGGGCGCAAGCCUGAUCCAGCCAUGCCGCGUGAGUGAUGAAGGCCCUAGGGUUGUAAAGCUCUUUCACCGGUGAAGAUAAUGACGGUAACCGGAGAAGAAGCCCCGGCUAACUUCGUGCCAGCAGCCGCGGUAAACGUAGCGUG